rnacentral:rRNA from 1 species
GAUGAACGCUAGCGGCAGGCCUAACACAUGCAAGUCGAGGGGUAACAUAGAAAAGCUUGCUUUUCUGAUGACGACCGGCGCACGGGUGCGUAACGCGUAUACAACCUACCUUUAACUGGGGAAUAGCCCGGAGAAAUCCGGAUUAAUGCCCCAUAACACUUUGGAGUAGCAUUGCUCUAAAUUUAAAGCUCCGGCGGUUAAAGAUGGGUAUGCGUGACAUUAGCUAGUUGGUGAGGUAACUGCUCACCAAGGCUACGAUGUCUAGGGGGCCUGAGAGGGUGACCCCCCACACUGGUACUGAGACACGGACCAG